rnacentral:rRNA from 1 species
GAGCCAGACUCCUACGGGAGGCAGCAGUGGGGAAUAUUGCACAAUGGGGGGAACCCUGAUGCAGCGACGCCGCGUGAGUGAAGAAGUAUUUCGGUAUGUAAAGCUCUAUCAGCAGGGAAGAAAAUGACGGUACCUGACUAAGAAGCCCCGGCUAACUACGUGCCAGCAGCCGCGGUAAUACGUAGGGGGCAAGCGUUAUCCGGAUUUACUGGGUGUAAAGGGAGCGUAGACGGCGACGCAAGUCUGGAGUGAAAGCCCGGGGCCCAACCCCGGGACUGCUCUGGAGACUGCGGCGCUGGAGUACGGGAGGGGCAGGCGGAAUUCCUGGUGUAGCGGUGAAAUGCGUAGAUAUCAGGAGGAACACCGGCGGCGAAGGCGGCCUGCUGGACCGUGACUGACGUUGAGGCUCGAGAGCGUGGGGAGCAAACAGGAUUAGAUACCCUGGUA